rnacentral:rRNA from 1 species
AGCAGCCGCGGUAAUUCCAGCUCCAAUAGCGUAUAUUAAAGUUGUUGCAGUUAAAAAGCUCGUAGUUGAAUUUCGGGGUCAGUAGGUUGGUCGUGCCACCGGUACGUACUGGUCUCACUGAUUCCUCCUUCCUGAUGAGCUGUAAUGCCAUUAAUUUGGUGUUGCAGGGAAUCUGGACUGUUACUUUGAAAAAAUUAGAGUGUUUAAAGCAGGCUAACGCUUGAAUACAUUAGCAUGGAAUAAUGAAAUAGGGCGUUCGAUCCUAUUUUGUUGGUUUCUAGGAUUGACGUAAUGAUUAAUAGGGAUAGUUGGGGGCAUUAGUAUUCAAUUGUCAGAGGUGAAAUUCUUGGAUUUAUUGAAGACUAACUACUGCGAAAGCAUUUGCCAAGGAUGUUUUCAUUAAUCAAGAACGAAAGUUAGGGGAUCGAAGACGAUCAGAUACCGUCGUAG